rnacentral:tRNA from 1 species
CGUUCUAUGGCCGAAUUGGUGAAGGCAUCGCCGAUCAUAGGCGAGGUUGUGGGUUCGAGUCCCGCUGGAACGA